CCUUUAAUAUGUUCUCACUUCUAAGGUGAAAAAUUAUGUGUGCAACACGAGAGCAAAGUUAUUUUACAUCUCGUGUUUUUGAGUCCCUCGCAAGAAAAACCAACUUUCCUCUCUUGUUGCACAAAUAACUAUUGGCGCGUUGUCUGAAUGGACGCUCGAGUUGGGCGUGCAGCGGGGCGGGGCGUGCGGCGUGCAUAUUAAACAAGUGCAAACGUAGAGGAGCGGCCUUAGUGCACGCUGCUCACAUCACUUGUGAGCCCGACGCCACGCUGCACGCCCCGCUGAACGCUCCGCUUCGAGGCCUGAGCCUUACACUAAUGGUGAUGAAUACAGCCUACCACGAGGCAGCUUACUACUUAAUUGUUCAGUCUACUUUUGUGUUCUAUUGAAAAAGCCUGGGAUAACUGAUUUUGUCUCACUAAAUAAAGUAAUUGUACUUUUUUACCUAUUGUAAGAUCAAAAUAGUAAGUUCUUUCAAAAAACGUUAUUUGUGGAUAUUUGUAUUGUAUGUUAUAUUAUAUCCCUAUAAUAGUUCGUAUUCAUUUUUAAAGUGGCCAUGAAAUAUUGCGGCUGGGUGGACCUAGGGUACCUAUUAUUUAUAAAGUUCCUACCUAUCCUACAUUCCUAUAGUCAUUCCCUAAACAUUUUGGCGGUAUAAUAAUUAUUUACCCUAUGUCUUUAUUAGCUGGUAAAGCAAAUGAUUGUACUUAUACUAGAGUCUUUUGUUUCCCAUAAAGUUUUGUCGUAAUGUAUUGUUUGUCCGCAUUUUCGUUAGUCAUAAUUUGGUUUCUCAGAAACUCGUAACUUUUCAGGAUUGCCAUAAAACAAACCUAGCCUAACCUAUCUAUAAGAUAACUUUACGAAAAAACUGAAAAGUUAACGGUUUCAGAAUUAUGACUAAUGAUAAUCUGACCAUCAUUACAUUAUGACUUUCAAUAAUUAUGUCAAACAAAGGGAUCCGACUUAUACUAUGAUAAAAACCGUGACUUUCACGAAUUGGAUAAAAUGGUAUUGCUUUAUUUCUUAAAAUCAUAUAUCCGAGUAAUGUUUUGUAGGUACAUAAGUAGGUACCUACCUACGUAGUGUCAUGUUCUAAUCCCACACUCCCUAUAUUCAUUCCCUUAAAAAUACGUAUGAUACGUACCUACGCUGCAUACUUAUUUGACUUCCCCUUCAAACAAAUUUCUAUGCAGGGGGGUCAGAUCUCUGCAGCUGACAUGUACAUCUUUUCAGAACAAUCGUGUUUUUGCCUUUGCCUUACCUGUGUUUUUGGAUAAAAUAUGAGAAGGGGCGUUCCAGAGAAGUGUGGAGAGUACGUGGCGCAAUUUUUUUAACACUUCUGAUAAAGUUAAGAAGCCGAUAUUUGACAUGAUAACGUUUGAUAACCUAGCUUAACCCUUAAAUGCAUGAUUUUUUGUAUAACUUUUUAAUAAAUUGAAAUAGAUGUGUCAUGUUGUAUAGAUUGAGGGAAAAAUAAAGAAAAAAAUCAUAGUAUUUAAAAAAACAUAUAUUUUUUACGAUGCAUAUAUACAUCAUUAUGCAUUUAAGGGUUAAAUUCAACGGUAUAUAAUACAGAUUUCUGCAGGUUGGUAGCUGCCAUAAUAUGCGUCACGUCUCCUACAGAAUAGACCAUUUUGUGAAAUGCCCCUGAAUGCCUUUAAUUAUGGUACCUACAGUGUUUGUGCUUAAGAAUAAUGUGUUUUUGAAAUGUUACUUACAUAUAAAUUAUAUCAUCAUUGUGAAAAUUAUUUAUAAUGUAAUAAUGCCGGUAUGCCACCUUUUCACGGCACCCAUCUUGAACCAAUUUUGAGUGUCAACUCAUCAACUGUUUGCGAUUGACUGUACAUAAGUGUUAUAUAGUUUGUAAAUAUUCUGAUAUAUUUUUUAACUCAGUCGUACUUGUUUUUAGUUGUUUAAGUCAGAAAGGGAGACGUUUCAUUUCUGAUUACAACCUAGGGUGAAUUAGGGCACUACUGGUCAUUUUCCCUGAUUCGCCAUUUUAACGAAAAUGGCGAUGGAAAUUGACGAAUCAAAGAUUUUGAUGGCAUUGACAAAUUAGUGAAACUGACAAUUAACGAAAAUGGCGAAUCUCUCCCUAAGGUGAACUCCCUGGGUGACUGCUAUAGUUAUUGCCCCCUCCAUAGUUAUUGGCAACUCUUAACAAGCCAAAUAGAAAUAAAGAAACAAGGCAAAAGUCUUAUUGUUAAGAGUGGUCAAUUACUAUGGAGGGGCCAAGAAUUAUAACAGUCACCCUACUUAUUAAUACUUAGACACUUUUUUGCGCUUAAGUAUGUAAUAACGAAAAUCGAAAAUUAUUGCUUUUUUCUAAAAGUUUGUCACUGUCAAAAAUUAUAUAUUACGUAGCUCUGUUUACAAAAUUAAAUAUAAUUGGUCAAACCAAAUUAUAUAUUAUUUAUUAAGUAAGGAAACUAAUGUUCGGAGUGAGCAAUGAACACAAAUUGUAUAGGAUUUAAAAUUUUAUGAAAUAAUAUGUUCUUUUUCAUUUCCUUUCUAAACAAAAAUCGCUGAGCUCUAAGGCGGUUAAUUUAAUAUGACAUAGAACUAUAUCCAUAUUCUUCGAAUUGUGUAAAAUCAUGAAAAAUGUUUUCAUAAAUAAUUGUAUGCAUUUUCAUAGCUGUAGGUGUGUUUGACAAGAACAAACUUGAUAGUUUUAUAACAUAGCUCCGUGUGACACGUCGUGCUCAAGUAUCAAGUAAGGUGGUCAAAUCUUAUCACAUUGGAUGCUUAAUUGCUUAUCCGCACUCCACUCCGGUGUGCGAGCGGGACAUUCGCUAUACAGGGUGAAAUUUUAACUACCGUUCAUACUCUGCGUAGUGACUUUAUAGGUCAUACCGAGCAACUUUUAUUAUAGGACCAAUGCCGACAUCGCGAAUAAAAUUUUGGCUGUCCCAUAGAAAUCAGCGGCUGAUGUGAUCAUCAGCCGGAAUGUAUGAAACAGCCAAAAAUUUUUCCGCGAUUUCGGCAUUGGUCCCAUAAUAAAAGUUGUUCAGUAUGAACCUAUAAAAUCACUACGUAGAGUAUGAACGGUGUGGUUAAAAUUUCAUACUGUAUACAGGCUGGCUAAAAAUAGGUGCAUUCCCGUUGCCAGGGAGGUUUGGGAUUAUACUGAGCAACUUUUACUAUGGGACCAACCACGAAAUCGCAAAAAAAAAUUACCCUCCCAUAGAAAAUGGACCAGCCAAAAUGUAUGAAACAGCCAAAUUAUUGUAAACUCGCGCGCCUAGAAGAUGUUGAUGUCAACUUUAGCCAUUCUUCUUCGAGACCACGGGGACAACGCCGUCCUCAAAACGUCGGAGGUGAAUUUAAAACUUAGUUUACGCGAUUAAGUCCCGUCGUUGUGAAUAACAAUGAGCCAAAUUAUUUUUCGCGUUUCCGUGGUUGGUCCCAUAGUAAAAGUUGCUCAGUAUAAUCCCAAAACCUCCCUGGCAAUGGGAAUGUACUUAUUUUUAGCCACGGUGAAUACGAGCAUACCUAUAGCGUUGUCUCGCACUUACACUGGAGCGUCGUGAGUAUAUGGUUCAGUGUGAUAAUCGCGUAAUGACGUUGAAAUAUUUUUAUAACUGUUUGUUUUGUAGCAUUGUAUUGUAACUCAUUAGGUAUAGUAAUAUAAAUUAUAUAU